rnacentral:rRNA from 1 species
CCUACGGGAGACAGCAGUGAGGAAUAUUGGUCAAUGGACGCGAGUCUGAACCAGCCAAGUAGCGUGAAGGAUGACUGCCCUAUGGGUUGUAAACUUCUUUUAUAAAGGAAUAAAACGAGGCACGUGUGCCUUUUUGCAUGUACUUUAUGAAUAAGGAUCGGCUAACUCCGUGCCAGCAGCCGCGGUAAUACGGAGGAUCCGCGCGUUAUCCGGAUUUUUUGGGUUUAAAGGGAGCGUAGAUGGGUUGUUAAGUCAGUUGUGAAAGUUUGCGGCUCAACCGUAAAAUUGCAAUUGAUACUGGCAGUCUUGAGUACAGUUGAGGUAGGCGGAAUUCGUGGUGUAGCGGUGAAAUGCUUAGAUAUCACGAAGAACCCCGAUUGCGAAGGCAGCUUACUAAACUGUGACUGACAUUGAUGCUCGAAAGUGUGGGUAUCAAACAGGAUUAGAUACCCCUGUAGUC